rnacentral:rRNA from 1 species
GAUGAACGCUGGCGGCGUGCCUAAUACAUGCAAGUCGAGCGAACGGACGAGAAGCUUGCUUCUCUGAUGUUAGCGGCGGACGGGUGAGUAACACGUGGAUAACCUACCUAUAAGACUGGGAUAACUUCGGGAAACCGGAUCUAAUACCGGAUGAUAUUUUGAACCGCAUGGUUCAAAAGUGAAAGACGGUCUUGCUGUCACUUAUAGAUGGAUCCGCGCUGCAUUAGCUAGUUGGUAAGGUAACGGCUUACCAAGGCAACGAUGCAUAGCCGACCUGAGAGGGUGAUCGGCCACACUGGAACUGAGACACGGUCCAGACUCCUACGGGAGGCAGCAGUAGGGAAUCUUGCGCAAUGGGCGAAAGCCUGACGGAGCAACGCCGCGUGAGUGAUGAAGGUCUUCGGAUCGUAAAACUCUGUUAUUAGGGAAGAACAUAUGUGUAAGUAACUGUGCACAUCUUGACGGUACCUAAUCAGAAAGCCACGGCUAACUACGUG